UAGGGAAUCUUCCACAAUGGACGCAAGUCUGAUGGAGCAACGCCGCGUGAGUGAAGAAGGUUUUCGGAUCGUAAAGCUCUGUUGUUGGUGAAGAAGGAUAGAGGUAGUAACUGGCCUUUAUUUGACGGUAAUCAACCAGAAAGUCACGGCUAACUACGUGCCAGCAGCCGCGGUAAUACGUAGGUGGCAAGCGUUGUCCGGAUUUAUUGGGCGUAAAGCGAGCGCAGGCGGAAGAAUAAGUCUGAUGUGAAAGCCCUCGGCUUAACCGAGGAAUUGCAUCGGAAACUGUUUUCUUGAGUGCAGAAGAGGAGAGUGGAACUCCAUGUGUAGCGGUGGAAUGCGUAGAUAUAUGGAAGAACACCAGUGGCGAAGGCGGCUCUCUGGUCUGCAACUGACGCUGAGGCUCGAAAAGCAUGGGUAGCGAACAGGAUUAGAUACCCUGGUAGUCCAUGCCGUAAACGAUGAGUGCUAAGUGUUGGGAGGUUUCCGCCUCUCAGUGCUGCAGCUAACGCAUUAAGCACUCCGCCUGGGGGAGUACGACCGCAAGGUUGAAAC
rnacentral:rRNA from 1 species